rnacentral:misc_RNA from 1 species
AAUUAUCAAUCACUUAUCUUUUAGAAAGGUGAAUUGGACUUGGAGUCUUGCUGGCUAUCAAAGUCAGCUUCUCUUAAAUGCAUUAGCGUGUACACUUUGUGGAUAGGCUUUGGUUUGAUAAAUAUCUAUGCCAUUGCUGUGAAGCAAGAAGUCAGCUACCAAUAAGUUCAUUUUUUGAACAUUUUGAC